rnacentral:lncRNA from 1 species
CUACAAAAGCGUAUGCUAUCAUACAAUCCUUUUUAAUGCUUUUAUUCUCACAAAAUACAGAACAAAGAUUUAGUAUUUAGUAUUUACAGUAUACAAGUACGAUGAGGUAGUUUUUUUUGCAAACCUUAUUAGACAAAAGUAGUAGGAGGCUUCAUCUUCUCAGAAAACAAUUAGAGAGGGCUUCAUUUUAGCGCACCAGAAACUUUAACGACCCAUUGCACACAAGCUCCAAAAAUACGAGGAACCAUGUCCUGCAAGUAUAGCCCAGCAUCAUAAUUUCCUCGUAAUCUUUCAUAUAUCCUCACUUUUCACAGGAGUCCAGCUGGCCUUGUUACCAUUUUGCUUCCUGGAAUGGGAUGCGUAGCCAAGAAUAUAGCCCACAAAAGCCCCAAGGACAAGAACACUUGCCCCCUUGACAUACCAUGAGAACGUAGAAUCAACCACCCCAAUCCUGGCUCCAGCAUCCACACUAAUGCUGUCAUCACCACUGAGAACUUCUCCAGAUGCCAAAAACUCAACCAUAUCGUGCAUCUUUCCAUCAUGGUUACCUACAUAAGUAAGUGUUAGCUUCUCCUUUGUGGCAACCAAUUUGGUGUACCCGAACUCCCCCCCACGGAACAUAGACCUGGCUGGCUGUGGAAAAAUUGGAUCAUUUGGGUGGUCUGAUCUUGGCUCCCAGAUGGGCUGCCAGUCUUGUCCUGCCAUGCCAAUCACAGCAUGGACUGGAAAUCCCUUCCAAGUGCUUCCGCAGAUGAAGUUAUUCACUGGACAAAACCUUUCGUAUCUAUGCACAUGACCCCACAGUGCAAGGGUAACAUUGUAUUUCGUAAACAAAGGUUCCAAGUGCUCAAGCAUUUUGUUCCUCAUUGGGGCAUCCCUGUUUUCAUUGCUAGUAGUAUACAUUGGUCUGUGCCCUUGGACUACCACAAAAGGAGUCUUGCUCCGGUCAACUGAUUCCAGAUCUUGCUUUAUAAAGUUAUAUUGGCUGCUCCCAGCAACAAAAUUGGUCUCAGUUGAUAUGUACACAAAAUGUACAGCCCCUGUGUCAAAAGAGUAGUAAAGGUUUCGGGUUGCAGGAGCACGGGUCCCAGUUGAGUCUGAAGAGUUCCCUGGCAUGUUAAAUUUAAGGCUGUAAGGAACCCCACAUUCACCACCACCAUCAGUUCCGUAAACUGCAUUGGCCCAAUCUGGUUUCCAGGGCUGUAAGGGCCAAUCGUACUCAUGAUUACCAAUGCACACAUGGUAUGGCACUUUGGAAGCAACAGGUUCCACUUGGGUAAAAAAAUGGUCCCACAACCAUGAGUACCCUCUUGCAUAGCUGAUAUCUCCUAUAUGAGAAACAAAAGCAUGCUUGUCACCAAUAGCUUCUAUGUCUCGGAGGAUCCACUUCAUGGUUGAUAUGCUUUCAUCUUGUGUACGGAUAAAGGUAGCAUAUGGUGUUGAAGUUCCCAUGUCCCCAAACAGGAAGGCUAUUGUUUCAUCCGAGUCUCCAUUCCGAGAGACAAAGCUCCUAGUUGUGCUCCAACCCUUAGAGUCGCUUCCAACCUG